rnacentral:rRNA from 1 species
GACGAACGCUGGCGGCGUGCUUAACACAUGCAAGUCGAACGGAAAGGCGCUGCUUUUGUGUGUUUCUCGUUUGCCGAACGGGUGAGUAACACGUGAGUAACCUGCCCUUAACUUUGUGAUAACUUCAGGAGAAUGGGGCUAUAACCGGAGAUAAUCUCCUGCUGCGUGGUGUUGAUAGGAAAAUGUCGGCGGUUGGGGAUGGACUCGCGGCUUAUCAGCUUGUUGGUGGGGUAGUGGCGUACCAGGGCUUUGACGGAUAGACGACAUGAGAGGGUGAACGGCGACAUUGCGACUAAGAUAGGGACCAGAAGCGUAUGGGAGGCAGCAGUGGAGAAUAUUGCAGAAUGGGCGGAAGCCUGAUGCAGAGACGCUGCGUGCGGGAAGACGGACUUCUGGUUGUAAACCGAUUUCGCAUGUGACGAAGAGUGCGUGACGGUAAUGGGUAAAGAAGCACCGGCUAACUACGUG